rnacentral:rRNA from 1 species
CGGGGGGACCACCCCCUAAGGCUAAAUACUACUUAGUGACCGAUAGUGCAUAGUACUGUGAAGGAAAGGUGAAAAGGACCCCGGGAGGGGAGUGAAAAAGAACCUGAAACCCUAUGUUUACAUGCAGUGGAAGUGCGAUACAUGAACGCACAACCGCGUACUUUUUGUAGAACGGUCCGGCGAGUUGCCGGUGCUGGCAAGGUUAAGGACUACAGGUCCGGAGCCGAAGGGAAACCGAGUCUUAAUAGGGCUUACAGUCAGCAUCGGCAGACCCGAAACCGGGUGAUCUAUCCAUGUCCAGGUUGAAGUUCCCGUAAAAGGGAAUGGAGGACCGAACACACAUCCGUUGAAAAGGGUGGUGAUGAGGUGUGGAUAGGGGAGAAAUUCCAAUCGAACCCGGAGAUAGCUGGUUCUCCUCGAAAUAGCUUUAGGGCUAGCCUCGACUUAGUCAGACGGAGGUAGAGCACUGAAUUCCUGAGGGGGCGUCAAAGCCUACCAAGGGAUAUCAAACUGCGAAUGCCGCACUGAUGAUGGUCGGGAGUCAGACUGUACGAGAUAAGUUGGACAGUCAAAAGGGAAAGAGCCCAGACCUACAGCUAAGGUCCCAAAAUACGUGUUAAGUGGAAAAGGAUGUGGGAUUUCGAAGACAGCUAGGAUGUUGGCUUAGAAGCAGCCACACAUUCAAAGAGUGCGUAAUAGCUCACUAGUCGAGAGGUCCUGCGCCGAAAAUUUCCGGGGCUAAAACACGAUACCGAAGCUUAGGAAUGUAGCAAUACAUUGGUAGAGGAGCAAUCUCAGAGUGCCGAAGCGUUACCGUAAGGAAGCGUGGAGUUCUGAGAAGAGAGAAUGCCGGAAUGAGUAGCGAGAAUGAUGUGAGAAUCAUCAUGGCCGAAUAUCCAAGGAUUCCAGGGUAAAGCUGAUCUGCCCUGGGUAAGUCGGGACCUAAGGCGAGGGAGAGAUCCGUAGUCGAUGGACAGCAGGUUCAUAUUCCUGCACCUGACAUGAUCAGAACUGUGGGGACACAGGAACGAAACCGGACCCGGGAGAGCAAAGACCGGGCGAAGCGAAGCUAGGAGUGCGGUAGGCAAAUCCGCCGCACAAUCCGAAAGCGUGAUAGGGAGCGAAAUAUAAGUAGCGAAGCCGGUGGAGGGACUGUCGAGAAAAGCCGCUAUUGUAUCAUGUCAGCCCGUACCGCAAACCGACACAGGUGGAUGAGGAGAGAAUCCUAAGGCCGGCGGGAGAAGCAUUGUUAAGGAACUCGGCAAAAUGACCCCGUAACUUCGGGAGAAGGGGUGCUGCAGAGAUGCAGCCGCAGAGAAAAGGCUCAAGCAACUGUUUAGCAAAAACACAGGUCUAUGCGAAACCGUAAGGUGAGGUAUAUGGGCUGACGCCUGCCCGGUGCUGGAAGGUUAAGAGGAGAGGUUAGCGCAAGCGAAGCUUUGAAUUUAAGCCCCAGUAAACGGCGGCCGUAACUAUAACGGUCCUAAGGUAGCGAAAUUCCUUGUCGGGUAAGUUCCGACCCGCACGAAAGGCGUAAUAUUCGGUGUUACUCGUACAGGAUAGGUGGGAGGCUAAGAAGGAAGGACGCCAGUCUUUCCGGAGCCGCUGUUGGGAUACCACCCCUGUGGCACUGGAUUUCUAACCUACAUCCGUGAUCCGGAUGGGGGACAAUGUCAGGUGGGGAGUUUGACUGGGGCGGUCGCCUCCGAAAGAGUAUCGGAGGCGCUCAAAGGUUCCCUCAGAAUGGUUGGAAACCAUUCGAAGAGCGCAAAGGCAGAAGGGAGCUUGACUGCGACACCGACGGGUGGAGCAGGUACGAAAGUAGGACUUAGUGAUCCGGUGGUAUAAAGUGGGAUUGCCAUCGCUCAACGGAUAAAAGCUACCCUGGGGAUAACAGGCUUAUCACUCCCAAGAGUUCACAUCGACGGAGUGGUUUGGCACCU